AUGAACGCUGGCGGCGUGCCUAAUACCUGCAAGUCGAGCGAACAGACGAGGAGCUUGCUCCUCUGACGUUAGCGGCGGACGGGUGAGUAACACGUGGAUAACCUACCUAUAAGACUGGGAUAACUUCGGGAAACCGGAGCUAAUACCGGAUAAUAUAUUGAACCGCAUGGUUCAAUAGUGAAAGACGGUUUUGCUGUCACUUAUAGAUGGAUCCGCGCCGCAUUAGCUAGUUGGUAAGGUAACGGCUUACCAAGGCAACGAUGCGUAGCCGACCUGAGAGGGUGAUCGGCCACACUGGAACUGAGACACGGUCCAGACUCCUACGGGAGGCAGCAGUAGGGAAUCUUCCGCAAUGGGCGAAAGCCUGACGGAGCAACGCCGCGUGAGUGAUGAAGGUCUUCGGAUCGUAAAACUCUGUUAUUAGGGAAGAACAAAUGUGUAAGUAACUAUACACGUCUUGACGGUACCUAAUCAGAAAGCCACGGCUAACUACGUG
rnacentral:rRNA from 1 species